CACGUAGGGGGCGAGCGUUGUCCGGAUUUAUUGGGCGUAAAGAGCUCGUAGGCGGUUCGCUAAGUCGGGUGUGAAACCUCCAGGCUCAACCUGGAGACGCCACCUGAUACUGGUGUGACUAGAGUCCGGUAGGGGAGUGUGGAACUCCUGGUGUAGCGGUGAAAUGCGCAGAUAUCAGGAAGAACACCAGCGGCGAAGGCGGCACUCUGGGCCGGAACUGACGCUGAGGAGCGAAAGCGUGGGUAGCAAA
rnacentral:rRNA from 1 species